UACGUAGGUGGCAAGCGUUGUCCGGAUUUACUGGGCGUAAAGAGCGCGCAGGCGGUCGUUCAAGUCGCGUGUGAAAGCCCCCGGCUCAACUGGGGAGGGUCACGCGAUACUGAUCGACUCGAAGGCAGGAGAGGGUAGUGGAAUUCCCGGUGUAGUGGUGAAAUGCGUAGAUAUCGGGAGGAACACCAGUGGCGAAGGCGACUACCUGGCCUGUUCUUGACGCUGAGGCGCGAAGGCCAGGGGAGCAAACGGG
rnacentral:rRNA from 1 species